rnacentral:rRNA from 1 species
UACGUAGGGGGCAAGCGUUGUCCGGAAUCAUUGGGCGUAAAGAGCGUGUAGGCGGCCCGAUAAGUCCGCUGUGAAAGUCCAGGGCUCAACCCUGGAAAGCCGGUGGAUACUGUCGGGCUAGAGUCCGGAAGAGGCGAGUGGAAUUCCUGGUGUAGCGGUGGAAUGCGCAGAUAUCAGGAGGAACACCGAUGGCGAAGGCAGCUCGCUGGGACGGUACUGACGCUGAGGCGCGAAAGCGUGGGGAGCGAACAGG